CGACGAGAGACGCCAUGGAAAGAUAACACAGUUCCUCCAAUGCUCCUGGAACCAGCUUUCUUUCCAUCCUGCUGAAGAAUUUGACAUCUUCAGAACAAAAGAGGGAGUGAGGAAGAAUUUUGAAAAGGAGAAGCACACAGUAGAGCAACACCCAUCUUAACUUGAACCUGGUUAAUUUCUGCUCUGAAGUUAGGUUCCCGAAGGAUGUUCAGAAGCCCCAAGUAUUGAGAACUGUCAGCGUCAGCUGUUGGCGCGGUGCCAUCAGACAUAUUGCCCUGAAGAUCAAGUCCGGGUCAUUCCAUCAAUUUACUGCGGUUUACGAAGAUAGAGAAAAAAGCCAGGCCGUGCAGGCUAUCAACUUCAAAUGGCUUUAGUAAACAUGCCUCGGUUGCUUUAACGGCUUCCCUUCUGGCUCCAGACCUUCGUGCUCCUGGGCAGGACCACCCAAAUCAACCCAACAGACGCCUGUUUUUGGUAGAUGCAGCCCCAGAGUAAAGAGAAGGGGCCUGGGUGGAGCAGCAGCCACCGUCUCUACGAAGUUCCCAAGUAGAGUAAGGUUGGGACAGAACCUGGGAGUGUGGCUUGGUCUUGCACACAGAGUUGAUGAUGGCACCCAAGUCCCAUAGCUUUUGUCUUACCAGCCAGGGGACUUAGAGUUGGUGGCGGGGGACAGAGGAACAGGCGUGUGAGCUGGGCUUCCUUGGUAGAAGGUUUUGUUAGCAGCGUUGGGAUUCGUAAUCCAAUCCAUCU